UCAGCUCCUCACCCCGCAAGCUCCGCAAUAUAGCAUCUUAUCGCAAGUACUUCUUGUCUCGCAAGUUCCGCACCAUCACGCAAGUACUAUUUCUACGCCAGUACGCUAUGUAAUUUCACCAAUGGGUAAUCAUUCUACCAAUGCAUAAUCAUUCGGAUAAGCUUGCACACCUGGCACACCACUGACCCAAAACUAGUCCACUAGUUGUAACCCAACAUGCGCUGGCCGAAGCAUGGACGAGGAUUUCACUUGUAAAUCGGAAACAACGAAAUCUUACAAAAAAUACGUUGUGGAAUAAAACUAUUGGCACUUUGCUUACGAUUAAGCUCACGAGGACACAAUGAAACAAAUUAAAAGCGCCUAACGUCGCGACUGGGUCCUGGCUGUAGAAGUAUGAUUUCUAAAUAACGGUCCCUUUAAGCAGUCAGCGGUUACAUGCACCUACAAGAUAGCAUACAAGCGAACUCAACUAACUAUAAAUGAACUAUAAGUUCAGUAUUUUUCAACUAGGAAAGACUACACCUCGACUACUCUACGUUGCUUUCAACUGACUACUUUUACAUGAUGAUGUUGCAUAUAUACAUAUGUACUUACAUAUGAAACCUGCAUGACUUUGAAGCCAAUUAAAAGUUUGCCGUAAUAAUUUGGCCAAAAGUUGACUAUUGAGUCGAUUACGAAAUUCUUGACUUUCCGUCAGAGCUGUAAAACUGUGAAAUCAUUUAAAAUUUUAAUCAUGAAAUAUUUACAAGUAGGAUUUCAUUAAUUUUC